GCAGUCGAGCGAACUGAUUAGAAGCUUGCUUCUAUGACGUUAGCGGCGGACGGGUGAGUAACACGUGGGCAACCUGCCUGUAAGACUGGGAUAACUUCGGGAAACCGAAGCUAAUACCGGAUAGGAUCUUCUCCUUCAUGGGAGAUGAUUGAAAGAUGGUUUCGGCUAUCACUUACAGAUGGGCCCGCGGUGCAUUAGCUAGUUGGUGAGGUAACGGCUCACCAAGGCAACGAUGCAUAGCCGACCUGAGAGGGUGAUCGGCCACACUGGGACUGAGACACGGCCCAGACUCCUACGGGAGGCAGCAGUAGGGAAUCUUCCGCAAUGGACGAAAGUCUGACGGAGCAACGCCGCGUGAGUGAUGAAGGCUUUCGGGUCGUAAAACUCUGUUGUUAGGGAAGAACAAGUAUGAGAGUAACUGCUCGUACCUUGACGGUACCUAACCAGAAAGCCACGGCUAACUACGUGCCAGCAGCCGCGGUAAUACGUAGGUGGCAAGCGUUAUCCGGAAUUAUUGGGCGUAAAGCGCGCGCAGGCGGUUUCUUAAGUCUGAUGUGAAAGCCCACGGCUCAACCGUGGAGGGUCAUUGGAAACUGGGGAACUUGAGUGCAGAAGAGAAAAGCGGAAUUCCAC
rnacentral:rRNA from 2 species